GAUGAACGCUGGCGGCGUGCCUAAUACAUGCAAGUCGAGCGAACAGACGAGGAGCUUGCUCCUCUGACGUUAGCGGCGGACGGGUGAGUAACACGUGGAUAACCUACCUAUAAGACUGGGAUAACUUCGGGAAACCGGAGCUAAUACCGGAUAACAUGUUGAACCGCAUGGUUCAACAGUGAAAGACGGUUUUGCUGUCACUUAUAGAUGGAUCCGCGUCGCAUUAGCUAGUUGGUAAGGUAACGGCUUACCAAGGCAACGAUGCGUAGCCGACCUGAGAGGGUGAUCGGCCACACUGGAACUGUGACACGGUCCAGACUCCUACGGGAGGCAGCAGUAGGGAAUCUUCCGCAAUGGGCGAAAGCCUGACGGAGCAACGCCGCGUGAGUGAAGAAGGUCUUCGGAUCGUAAAACUCUGUUAUUAGGGAAGAACAAAUGUGUAAGUAACUAUGCACGUCUUGACGGUACCUAAUCAGAAAGCCACGGCUAACUACGUG
rnacentral:rRNA from 1 species